GAUGAACGCUGGCGGCGUGCCUAAUACAUGCAAGUCGAGCGAACAGACGAGGAGCUUGCUCCUCUGACGUUAGCGGCGGACGGGUGAGUAACACGUGGAUAACCUACCUAUAAGACUGGGAUAACUUCGGGAAACCGUAGCUAAUAACGGAUAAUAUAUUGAACCGCAUGGUUCAAUAGUGAAAGACGGUUUUGCUGUGACUGAUAGAUGGAUCCGCGCCGCAUUAGUUAGUUGGUAAGGUAACGGCUUACCAAGGCAACGAUGCGUAGCCGACCUGAGAGGGUGAUCGGCCACACUGAAACUGAGACACGGUCCAGACUCCUACGGGAGGCAGCAGUAGCGAAUCUUCCGCAAUGGGCGAAAGCCUGACGGAGCAACGCCGCGUGAAUGAUGAAGCUCUUCGGAUCGGAGAACUCUGUUAUUAUUGAAGAACAAAUGUGUAAGUAACUAUGCUCGUCUUGACGGUACCUAGUCAGAAAGCCACGGCUAACUACGUG
rnacentral:rRNA from 1 species